rnacentral:rRNA from 1 species
AUGCAGACGGGUGAGUAACAUGUAGGUAUCUUCCCUUUGGCCUGGAAUAACACGAGGAAACUUGUGCUAAUACUGGAUAAGUCUUUACGGAGAAAGCUUUAUGCACCAUUGGAUGAGCCUGCACUUGAUUAGUUUGUUGGUGGGGUAAAGGCCUACCAAGACUGUGAUCAAUAGCUGAUUUGAGAGGAUGAUCAGCCACAUUGGGACUGAGACACGGCCCAAACUCCUACGGGAGGCAGCAGUGGGGAAUCUUGCACAAUGGAGGAAACUCUGAUGCAGCGAUGCCGCGUGAGUGAAGAAGGCCUUUGGGUUGUAAAGCUCUUUCGUCGGGGAAGAAAAUGACUGUACCCGAAUAAGAAGGUCCGGCUAACUUCGUGCCAGCAGCCGCGGUAAUACGAAGGGACCUAGCGUAGUUCGGAAUUACUGGGCUUAAAGAGUUCGUAGGUGGUUGAAAAAGUUGGUGGUGA